rnacentral:rRNA from 1 species
CAAUAGCGUAUAUUAAAGUUGUUGCAGUUAAAAAGCUCGUAGUUGGAUUUCCGGUGGGAGCGAUCGGUCUGGCGCUUAGCGCGAGUACUUGCAUCGUCUCCGGCCAUCCUUGGGGAGAGUCUGUCUGGGAUUAGGUUGUCGGGCAGAGGAUCCUCAUCGUUUACUGUGAAAAAAUUAGAGUGUUCAAAGCAGGCUUAUGCCGUUGAAUAUAUUAGCAUGGAAUAAUAAGAUAGGACUUUGGUACUAUUUUGUUGGUUUGCGCACCAAAGUAAUGAUUAAUAGGGACAGUUGGGGGUAUUCGUAUUCCGUUGUCAGAGGUGAAAUUCUUGGAUUUACGGAAGACGAACUACUGCGAAAGCAUUUACCAAGGAUGUUUUCAUUAA